AACGGCCUGAUCAUUAUGAAUGAGCUUAUUGUCCCAUGUUUGCCAUUACUACUGGUGGAUGAAAUGGAAAAAAAGGGAAUUGUUGCUGUGGAAGAUAUGAGAAACCGUUGGUGUUCCUAUCUUGGACAAGAAAUGGAACCCAACUUGCAAGAAAAGCUGACAGAUUUUUCCCGCCAAAACUGCUAGAUUGCUCUACAGAGAUUAAAGGUUUCAAUGAUCCGCCAAAGUUACCCUCCUACUCCACACAUGAACUGUGUGAAAGAUACGCCCCAAUCAUGUUGUCACUCAGUCGAACUCCAGCCGAUGGAAAAUAAAUUCUGCAACCUUCCUAAGCACAUUGUAUAAACUUUUUUAGUUCUUAAACCUUGCCUUCCUGUCACAGGGUUUGCUUGUUGCUGCUAUAGUUUUUAACUUUUUUAUUUUAAUAACUGCAAAGGAGAAAUGACUGUACAAACUUUAGCCAGACUGCAAACAGUUAAAGCUGAGAAUCGCAUGGCACUCAGUUGUUUCAACCAGAAUUGAUGCAACAUGCAAGUCUAUCAUUAUGGCAAAACUGCUUUUUUUUGCCACUUAUCUGUUACAGUAUUACUUUGCUUUUAUCUUAAGAUCCUUUACUUUAUCAACAGCUGUCUGGAUCAUUUUGUGACUGCAACUACUUUAAGUGUCCAGUGCUGUGUAAAUACAUAGUACUUGGUAGCUUGUAAAUGAAAUGAAAGAAUAAAGUUUUAUUUAUGGCUA